CCUACGGGAGGUAGCAGUAGGGAAUCUUCCACAAUGGGCGAAAGCCUGAUGGAGCAACGCCGCGUGAGUGAUGAAGGCCUUCGGGUUGUAAAACUCUGUCAUUCGGGACGAACCGGAGUCUGAGGAAAUGCAGACUCUCUGACGGUACCGGAGGAGGAAGCCCCGGCUAACUACGUGCCAGCAGCCGCGGUAAUACGUAGGGGGCAAGCGUUGUCCGGAUUCACUGGGCGUAAAGCGCGCGCAGGCGGUGAUGUAAGUCUGAGGUGAAAACCCGAAGCUCAACUUCGGGACUGCCUUGGAUACUGCGUCACUUGAGGAUAGGAGAGGCAAGGGGAAUUCCACGUGUAGCGGUGAAAUGCGUAGAGAUGUGGAGGAACACCUGUGGCGAAGGCGCCUUGCCGGCCUAUUUCUGACGCUGAGGCGCGAAAGCGUGGGGAGCAAACAGGAUUAGAUACCCUGGUAGUCCACGCUGUAAACGAUGAGUGCUAGGUGUAGGUGGGCUCAUACCCAUCUGUGCCGAAGCUAACGCAUUAAGCACUCCGCCUGGGGAGUUACGGUGCAAGACUUGAACUUCAAGGAUUGACGGCU
rnacentral:rRNA from 1 species